AUCGCGGAUCAGCAUCCCACGGUGAAUACGUUCCCGGGCUUUGUACACGCCGCCCGUCACACCAUGGGAGUUGGCUUGACCAGAAGACGGUGCGCUAAUUUCGGAGGCAGCCGUCCACGGUCAGGUCAGCGAUUGGGGUGAAGUGGUAACAAGGUAGCCGUAGGGGAACAUGCGGCCGGAUCACCU
rnacentral:rRNA from 1 species